CUAUUCGGUAUCUGGGUCAAACGAAAAAUCCUUUGAACGCUGACCUAAUUUGACUAUUUUUAGCCAAUCCGUUACAAACAUUCCAACAUCGAUGACUAAAAAGGGGCGCUGUAUCUCAAAUCAGCCAAUAAAAGUUGAGAAUUGAUUUUCACCGUUUCAGUGUGUGAGCAGACGACAAACAGACAGCACGCGCCUAGCAGACGACACAUAGCGUGAAUAACCGUCGCUAACUGGGAAAUGUUUUAACAUCUGAUUUGAAUUGGUGACUUUUCUUCAGAUUGUGUGUCCGAGUGUGAUUAUUGCAGCAUGGCUGUUGACUGGAACGGUCUGGCAGGUUUUGUUGGGUCCGCCGACGAAGAAACGCGAGAUGUCGGUGUUAAACUCCGCCACAUUGGGGAUGAAUUGUAUGUCCGAUAUCUGCCGUUCGAUCAGUUGAUAGAGAGGAUAGUGGAACACGUGUUAAAUCGCUUUGGAUGGAGGAAUCAAGUUGUCCAACUGAUAGCUAGGAUACCGGCCUUCAGGUGACCCUAAAUCUGAUCAGUCAAUGAAGGAACUACGUCUCAAUCCAAACAUACAGUCUGGAUCCCGAUCUCAACUCCAACACGGAAUAUGCCUCAACUCCAAAAGCUUGUUGUGUAUUGAGUAGCUCUCCGACGUUGUCACAUCAUGAUAUGAGAGACAUUCUACUCAUGGAUGAACGAGCUAACAUGGAUUGUGUCUCAACACACACGGAUUCACAACCGUGAAGAUUUAGCGAGACGUACACCCAAAACCCGGGCUUGAACUAAAUAACCGGACUGUGCACUAUGAAGACUUUACAAAUACAAACCACAUAUAUGCUAAAACAUACCUGACGGUAUAUUCAGAAAUCAGAUACAUUAUUAUAUUUAUUCUUCGUGACAUUAUCAAGGUCAGUUUCCGUUCCCACUUGUUUCCUCAUUACAUGCAUGUUGUCAAUGUCUGUACAUAAGCAUUUGAUUGAUGAUCGAUUUGUUACUCGUGUGUGUUUCAUGCUUAAGUGUGUUUGAGAGAGAGAGAGAGAGAGAGAGAGAGAGAGAGAGAGAGAGAGAGAGAGAGAGAGAGAGAGAGAGAGAGAGAGAGAGAGAGAGAGAGAGAGAGAGAGAGAGAACGAGAGAGAGAGAGAGAGAGCGUAGCAUUGAACGAAUGCUGUAUCUAAUGCCACUUUAUUUACUAUUUGUGAAAACGUUCGUGAUUGAUUUAUAUAUCUAUUUAUGUAUACGUAAUAUGUUGUGCUCUACAAAUAUUAUCCCAAUUCAUGUCAAGUCAUGAGAUCGGUUAGUCAGUCCGUCCAAAAGUUUGUUUGUGGAAAAUACGGGUAUUUGAUGUAAAACAGUACCGCAUUGUCAUAAUGUGUAAUUCAUGUGUUCUGUCUCAUCAGAGCGUGAUAUCGCCUUUUGAUAUCAUGAAAAAUUGAAGCUUUACUCGUCAGUUUGUGCUAUCAUUCAUAGAAUUAUUUUGUCACCACACAUAAAAUCUGUAACGAAA